rnacentral:rRNA from 1 species
UACAGAGGUGGCAAGCGUUGUUCGGAAUUACUGGGCGUAAAGGGCGCGUAGGCGGUCUUCUAAGUCUUGUGUGAAAUCCCUCGGCUCAACUGAGGAACUGCACGGGAUACUGGAAGACUUGAGUUCGGGAGAGGGAAGCGGAAUUCCGGGUGUAGCGGUGAAAUGCGUAGAUAUCCGGAGGAACACCGAUGGCGAAGGCAGGUCUCUGGGCAUUAACUGACGCUGAGGAGCGAAAGCAUGGGGAGCGAACAGG